rnacentral:lncRNA from 1 species
CGCCGGGGAGGCAAAGCCGGGAGAAACUGCUGAGACGAGGUGGUCAACACUGCCUGGCCCUAGGAUCAGCUGGAAACUCACUGCUUCAGGCCACAGGGUCCCUGGCCCUGGAAGAGCUGGGGGCAGAGCCAGAGGGCGGCCUUCCCAGGACGGCCCCCUCCCUUCUCCCCACAGCUCCAGGGCCACAGCUGCUCCUCCUCUGCAGGGAGUGGCACGACCACUUCUCCAGGCCCAGGCCCCUCAGCUCCCGCACGCCCUGGAACGCCACCCC